UUUCGCAAUGCCCGAAAGGGUGACGAAGCGACGCCGCGUGGGUGAGGAAGGCCUUCGGGUUGUAAAGCCCUGUCAGGAGUUAAGAAAUGUAAGUGCGCUAAUACCGCAUUUAUUUGACGAAGGCUCCAAAGGAAGUCACGGCUAACUCUGUGCCAGCAGCCGCGGUAAUACAGAGGUGGCAGGCGUUGUUCGGAAUUAUUGGGCGUAAAGGGCACGUAGGUGGGUUUGUAAGUCAGAUGUGAAAGCCUCCUGUUCAACGGGAGAAUUGCAUCUGAAACUACAGAUCUUGAGUGUAGGAGGGGAGAAUGGAACUUCUGGUGGAGCGGUGAAAUGCGUAGAUAUCAGAAGGAACGCCGGCGGCGAAAGCGAUUCUCUGGCCUAUUACUGACACUCAGUGUGCGAAAGCUAGGGUAGCAAACGGGAUUAGAUACCCCGGUAGUCCUAGCCGUAAACGAUGGGCACUAAGUAGAGGGGUUUUA
rnacentral:rRNA from 1 species